CAACUGCCCCACAACACCUGCCCCAUGGCAGCCAUGAAACCACCCCGAACCGAGGCACCGUCUGCCCCACAGCCCCCGCUCAACUGCUCCCCAACUCCUGCCCCGCGGUGACCACAAAACUACCCCAACCAAGGCAACACCCGCCCCACGGAAGCUGUGAAACCACCCCCAACACCUGCCCCACGGUGACCAUUCAACCACCCCCGACCGACACAACAUCACCCGCCCCACGGUGGCCGCGAAACCACCCCCCAACCGAGGCCAACUCCUGCCCCGCGGCAACCGCACAACCGCCCCACGGCCAGCGCCGCGGGGCCGCCUCCCGCCUCCCCGAGCCCGUCCGUCCGUCCGUCCAUCCGCCGGCGGGAGGAAGGGGGGGAGGCGCUGCUCACCUGCGGCGGUGCCGGCGGCCAUCGCGGCCCCACGGAGGAGGGGGGGGGGAAACGUCGCUCCGGAAGGGGGGGCGGCGGGACCUGCCGGGGAGGAGCAGCGGCAGCAGGAGGAAGAGGAGGAGGAGGAGGGAGGCCGGGAAGAAGGCCCAGGCGUCCCCCGUCCCCGUUCCCGCCCCCCCCGCUCAGGGCGUCGGCGUCACCCAGUUGCCCCAGCUGACGCCGGUGGCGGCGGCGGGGGCGGCGGCGGCCGCCGAGGCCCAGGCGUCCUGGGAGGCGUCGCCCCAGGCGCCAUAUUGGGCGCCGUACUGGGAGCCGUCGGCGCCGUACUGGGCUCCGUACUGGGAGGCGGCGGCGCCGUACUGGGCGCCGUACUGGGCGCCGUACUGGGAGGCGUCGGCGGCCCCCGAGGCCAGGCCGUACUGGGAGGCGUCGGCGGCGUACUGGGAAGCGCCGGCGGCGUACUGGGAGGCGCCGGCGCCGUACUGGGAGGCGCCCGCCGCCGCCCCGUACUGCCCGGCGGCCAUUUGGGCACCGCCGUACUGGGAAGCGGCGCCGGCGCCCGACGCCAGGCCGUACUGGGAGGCGGCGGUGCCGUACUGGGAGGCGGCGGCGGUGCCGUACUGGGCGCCGUACUGGGAGGCGGCGGCGUACUGGGAGGCGGCGGCGGCCAUGUUGUUGGCGGCGUACUGGGAGGCGGCGGCGGCCAUGUUGUUGCCGUACUGGGAAGCGCCGGCGGCCAUGUUGUUGGCGGCGUACUGGGAGGCGCCGGCGGCCAUGUUGUUGGCGGCGGCGAGGCGGGAGGUGUUGGCCGCCGCCGCCAUGGCGGGGGUCACGGCAAAGGGCGAGCGGGAGCCGCCGGUGCCCAUGCUUCCCUGGAGCCGGUGGUAACAGGAACCCAAGCGACCGGAGCAACCCACGGCCACGUUCCCCUGGAGCCGGUGGAUGCAGGAGCCCAGGCGUCCGGGGCACCCCAGCCCCACGCUGCCCUGCAGCCGGUGGAUGCAGGAGCCCAGGCGUCCGGGGCACCCCAUGGCCAUGUUGCCCUGGAGCCGAUGGAUACAGGGACCCAGGCGUCCGGCGGGGAAAGCGCUUCCGCCUCCGCUUCCGCUUCCUCCCCGGCCCGGCGUCGCGAGGAAAGGGGAGCUGGGCGUGCGGGCGAAGGCGCUGGCGCUGCCCA
ensembl:lncRNA